rnacentral:rRNA from 1 species
UGAGUAACACGUAUCCAACCUGCCGUCUACUUUUGAACAGCCUUCUGAAAGGAAGAUUAAUACAAGAUGGCAUCAUGAGUCCGCAUGUUCACAUGAUUAAAGGUAUUCCGGUAGACGAUGGGGAUGCGUUCCAUUAGAUAGUAGGCGGGGCAACGGCCCACCUAGUCUUCGAUGGAUAGGGGUUCUGAGAGGAAGGUCCCCCACAUUGGAACUGAGACACGGUCCAA